UGCAGUGACACGGGGUGCCCCGCCUGGGGCUGAGAACACACCCGUCGAACCUGAUCCAGUUAGUACUGGCGAAGGAAUUGUCAGCAGAACGUCCU
rnacentral:ncRNA from 2 species